GUCUGUGGCCAUACCACCCUGAACAUGCCAGAUCUCGUCUGAUCUCAGAAGCUAAGCAGGGUUGGGCCUGGUUAGUAUUUGGAUGGGAGACCACCUGGGAAUACUGGGUGCUGUAGGUU
rnacentral:rRNA from 1 species